UGAAUCUUUUAGAAUAUGUGAAACUAAAUUGGAAGAGGAUUGUUCUCAGUCUCCUGGUGAGAUUUUAGGCAAUGGUACAGAAUUGCCUACAUAAAGGGAGAUGGGCAGGCAGAGCCAUCAUACUUAAGGCUGCAUGAGACCUAUCACUGUGCAAAGAGCUGCUAAGAAAGCAAGGUCCUGGCGAGACCCUCUCUGGAGGAGAAGCCUAGGGUAUUGGGAAACCCUGAGGAACUGGACAGAAGAAAGGGAUCUUUGAAAAUUGCACGCUUCUUUCAAGAUUCCCUCCUAGCAGCAGGAGCAUGGCUAAAGUAUUUCUUGAUUCCUCUGAGAAUGAACUCAUUGAAGAAAUGUGUUCUCAAUUCUGAGGAUGGCAGCUGCU